rnacentral:rRNA from 1 species
CCUACGGGAUGCAGCAGUGAGGAAUAUUGGUCAAUGGGCGAGAGCCUGAACCAGCCAAGUCGCGUGAGGGAGUACUGCCCUAUGGGUUGUAAACCUCUUUUGUCGGGGAGCAAAAGCCGGACGGGUCCGGCUGUGAGAGUACCCGAAGAAAAAGCAUCGGCUAACUCCGUGCCAGCAGCCGCGGUAAUACGGAGGAUGCGAGCGUUAUCCGGAAUAAUUGGGUGUAAAGGGUGCGCAGGCGGAUUUUUAAGUCAGCGGUAAAAUCGUGGGGAGCAACCCCAUCCAGACGUUGAAACUGGGGAUCUAGAGGGUGCGGAAGGUAUGCAGAAGGCGUGGUGUGGCGGUGAA